rnacentral:misc_RNA from 1 species
ACCUUUGUGUGCAUCCUUCCAUGACAUCUUGACGUGUGAGUCUCUUUGCUCUGCCCCUUUGGCAUUCCACGCACGCGGAUGUGAGCCGUUGUGAAACUUCAUAUAUUUCGGCACCUCUCUGCUUUCCGCCCGGAUGACGGGGGAGGGGAGGAGAGGCACCUCAAUGCAUGGCGCUACAGGGCUCACUACUCUACUCGGCGGCAAAGCCAAGCAGCCCGGACCCCCUCAUUCCUUGCGAAGUGCCGAACCACCUGUGGUGGUGACAGGGUCGCCGGCGCCGGCGCCGUGCUGGAAGUCCGGGCGACGUAUCGCUGCUGAUGUAGUUGGUCGGGUCCUGGCCGGGCGUUGCGUCGGGGCGACCGGCGACAGUGAACACGCGUGUGCCAUCCAUACAAUUCGGCAGCGUGUCACCGCGUCUCGAGAGUAACCCGCCCGGGCCCCUACACCGCCCACUGGUGUGCGGGCGGGGGGAGGGCGGGGGCAGCGGCGCCCGCGCCCAUUCCAAGAAGGGAGGGAGGCACCAGCUGGCGGCCGGCGAGGCGGCGGGUGGGUGGGGUAGAGCUCGAGGGCAGAUGGCCGUGCUCAGAUAGCUGAGUCGGCAGCACUGCUGCACCGCGUGCCUGCCGCUUCUUCGCGCGACGCGGGGGGGGGACUGUGACAGGCCGUGGGUGGAGCGGAGCUUGCCUUGUGUUGGAGUGGCAGAGAAACGAAUGCGUUGAACAACAAAACACACACUGUGAGCCUUGGGGCCUUUUUGCACCUUUCAGAAAAAGUUGAAGAAGAGAGAUGAGUGAAGUAUAGAGUUCCACGGCGCAUAUGCACCGUUCUCUGAUCGUUUCCGCCUCGUUUUCACGUGCUCGUGUCGCCCUCGACGCGCUCGUUCCUUUCUUCUGCAGCUGCCGUCUUUGUGGUUUCUUCGAAAAGCCCCACUGGAGCUGCAAGUGAUAGCCUUGCUGUUAAUGGCUAGAUUGUGGAACGAGUUGAUGCUGCUUUUUCUUUUUGCAGUGAGUCGCUCGGAUGGUUGGGGAGAAGAGUGAUGACGACUCCAGAUGCAGCGGAGACCCAGCUCAAGGGGCCCCGCGUCUCAAUCCUCCCUCUGCUCGCGCCUUCUCUUUUGCCAGUGGCGUUCCACGAAGUAUGCGUAUCACCGUGCGGCUGUGUGCGCGUGCUUACGUGUGUUGAGGGGGUGUCAAUGUUUUUUUUAUUUUGCUUCUUCCCAUCCUCUUGGAACGCUCGCCAUAUUCCCGACCUUCGUCAACCGACUACUUUCGUCCUUUGCGACUAGCUUUUCUCUUGCCCUCUCCUCUCCUGUUGCUUUCCUCUCAUCCCCCACUGUAACACGAUCUUUCUCCCUCGUCUCCCCUGCACCUCAG